AGUUCUGAGUUUUCUCCUGAGAUUUUUUCUGCCGUCGCAUCUGACUUUCUUCUAUUUUGUUCUGUUGUGUUCUGUCAAACAACUUCCGAGUUUUCUUCUGUUUUCUUCAAACCGAACCCUUAGUUUUGGAUGUGCUCUAAUUUUGAACCAUUGCAUAACCCAGUUUUAGGAAAGAUGAAAAGGUACAGAACUACAGAUUUUAAAAUCUCUCAGUGUUGAACUCUUCAUUUCAACGGAUCCUGCUGUAAGUUUCUUCCUCAUUGUGGUUCACUUUUUGAUUGGUUAGGACUUAAGUAAAUUGCAUGAAUUAAUUUGAUAGGAUCACAGCUUUUUCCUUUGCUGUGUAAAUAGAUUGUGUUUGUUGUUUGUAUAUUGAAUUAGUAGAAUACUGCUAGAGUAGGAAGGGAUUUGAGCUGAUUUAACACGUCUAAGAAUCUUAACAAGUCCUUAUAUUCAAAAUCUUCGUUGAAAAUUGCUAUGGGCUUGUUCUGUAAUCUUUCUGUAAAUCUCUAUAGGAAAAAAUAGAAAAUGAGAGAAGAUUCUAGUGAUUUUGUUUGGAGGGAAAUCUUGUGGAACCCCAUGGAAAAUGCACUGUGGCAUUUAGUCUUGCAUGGUCAUCUCCAAAAGUAAAGUUCUCAAAAGGCAGCACUUUUCAUAGGAGAUACACAAAAUUUUAUGGGACUUCUGAGAGAGCUGCAAAGGACUUGGCCCAUGAUGCAUUAACUCAAUACAAACGAUGGGAAGAAGACAUUGAGAAAUGGCAAAAUCCUAUUCUUCAGGAUGAGUCACUACCAGAAUGGUAAUUCUCUGUUUAAGCAUGAAGACAUUUUAAUUUUUAAGCAUCAACUUGUGUAUUGGUUUAUUAU